GACGUAGGGCGCGAGCGUUGUCCGGAUUGAUUGGGCGUAAAGGGCUCGUAGGCGGUCUGUCACGUCGGGAGUGAAAACUCAGGGCUUAACCCUGAGCCUGCUCCCGAUACGGGCAGACUAGAGGUAUGCAGGGGAGAACGGAAUUCCUGGUGUAGCGGUGAAAUGCGCAGAUAUCAGGAGGAACACCGGUGGCGAAGGCGGUUCUCUGGGCAUUACCUGACGCUGAGGAGCGAAAGUGUGGGGAGCGAACAGG
rnacentral:rRNA from 1 species